rnacentral:rRNA from 1 species
GGCGUUAAGUUGCAGGGUAUAGACCCGAAACCCGGUGAUCUAGCCAUGGGCAGGUUGAAGGUUGGGUAACACUAACUGGAGGACCGAACCGACUAAUGUUGAAAAAUUAGCGGAUGACUUGUGGCUGGGGGUGAAAGGCCAAUCAAACCGGGAGAUAGCUGGUUCUCCCCGAAAGCUAUUUAGGUAGCGCCUCGUGAAUUCAUCUCCGGGGGUAGAGCACUGUUUCGGCAAGGGGGUCAUCCCGACUUACCAACCCGAUGCAAACUGCGAAUACCGGAGAAUGUUAUCACGGGAGACACACGGCGGGUGCUAACGUCCGUCGUGAAGAGGGAAACAACCCAGACCGCCAGCUAAGGUCCCAAAGUCAUGGUUAAGUGGGAAACGAUGUGGGAAGGCCCAGACAGCCAGGAUGUUGGCUUAGAAGCAGCCAUCAUUUAAAGAAAGCGUAAUAGCUCACUGGUCGAGUCGGCCUGCGCGGAAGAUGUAACGGGGCUAAACCAUGCACCGAAGCUGCGGCAGCGACGCUGAUGCGUUGUUGGGUAGGGGAGCGUUCUGUAAGCCUGUGAAGGUGUGCUGUGAGGCAUGCUGGAGGUAUCAGAAGUGCGAAUGCUGACAUAAGUAACGAUAAAGCGGGUGAAAAGCCCGCUCGCCGGAAGACCAAGGGUUCCUGUCCAACGUUAAUCGGGGCAGGGUGAGUCGACCCCUAAGGCGAGGCCGAAAGGCGUAGUCGAUGGGAAACAGGUUAAUAUUCCUGUACUUGGUGUUACUGCGAAGGGGGGACGGAGAAGGCUAUGUUGGCCGGGCGACGGUUGUCCCGGUUUAAGCGUGUAGGCUGGUUUUCCAGGCAAAUCCGGAGAAUCAAGGCUGAGGCGUGAUGACGAGGCACUACGGUGCUGAAGCAACAAAUGCCCUGCUUCCAGGAAAAGCCUCUAAGCAUCAGGUAACAUCAAAUCGUACCCCAAACCGACACAGGUGGUCAGGUAGAGAAUACCAAGGCGCUUGAGAGAACUCGGGUGAAGGAACUAGGCAAAAUGGUGCCGUAACUUCGGGAGAAGGCACGCUGAUAUGUAGGUGAAGCGACUUGCUCGUGGAGCUGAAAUCAGUCGAAGAUACCAGCUGGCUGCAACUGUUUAUUAAAAACACAGCACUGUGCAAACACGAAAGUGGACGUAUACGGUGUGACGCCUGCCCGGUGCCGGAAGGUUAAUUGAUGGGGUCAGCGCAAGCGAAGCUCUUGAUCGAAGCCCCGGUAAACGGCGGCCGUAACUAUAACGGUCCUAAGGUAGCGAAAUUCCUUGUCGGGUAAGUUCCGACCUGCACGAAUGGCGUAAUGAUGGCCAGGCUGUCUCCACCCGAGACUCAGUGAAAUUGAACUCGCUGUGAAGAUGCAGUGUACCCGCGGCAAGACGGAAAGACCCCGUGAACCUUUACUAUAGCUUGACACUGAACACUGGUCCUU